GGAUUAGAUACCCUGGUAGUCCACGCUGUAAACGAUGAUUACUCGCUGUUGGCGAUACACUGUCAGCGGCUAAGCGAAAGUGAUAAGUAAUCCACCUGGGGAGUACGUUCGCAAGAAUGAAACUCAAAGGAAUUGACGGGGGCCCGCACAAGCGGUGGAGCAUGUGGUUUAAUUCGAUGAUACGCGAGGAACCUUACCAGGGCUUAAAUGUAGAACGACCGAUUUGGAAACAAGUCUUCUCUUUGAGCGGUCUACAAGGUGCUGCAUGGUUGUCGUCAGCUCGUGCUG
rnacentral:rRNA from 1 species